rnacentral:rRNA from 1 species
GACGAACGCUGGCGGCGUGCUUAACACAUGCAAGUCGAGCGGUAAGGCCCUUCGGGGUACACGAGCGGCGAACGGGUGAGUAACACGUGGGUGACCUGCCCUCCACUUCGGGAUAAGCCUGGGAAACUGGGUCUAAUACCGGAUAGGACCUUCUGGGUGCAUGCCGGUGGGUGGAAAGUUUUUCGGUGGGGGAUGGGCCCGCGGUCUAUCAGCUUGUUGGUGGGGUGAUGGCCUACCAAGGCGACGACGGAUAGCCGGCCUGAGAGGGUGAUCGGCCACACUGGGACUGAGACACGGCCCAGACUCCUACGGGAGGCAGCAGUGGGGAAUCUUGCGCAAUGGGCGAAAGCCUGACGCAGCGACGCCGCGUGAGGGAUGACG